GCCGCGGUGAUACGUAGGUGCGAGCGUUGUCCGGAUUUAUUGGCGUAAAGGCUCGUAGGUGGUUGAUCGCGUCGGAAGUGUAAUCUUGGGCGUUAACCCUAGAGCGUGCUUUCGUAUACGGGUUGACUUGAGGAAGGUAGGNGAAGUGGAAUUCCGUGUGAGCGGUGGAAGUGACGCAGAUAUCAGAGGAACACCAGUGCGAAGGCGGUUCGUCUGGGCCUUUCCGUCGUACGCUGAGAGCGAAAAGCGUGGGGAGCGGUCGACGCGGCCGAGGUCCGUGGGAGGCAAAGGGCAACACCAGGGGAUAGGG
rnacentral:rRNA from 1 species